UAUGGUCAUAUCACGUUGAGACGCCGGUUUUCGUACUAUCACCGAAGUUAAGCAACGUCGAGCCUGGUCAGUACCUAGAUGGGUGACCGUCUGAG